rnacentral:rRNA from 1 species
UGAGUAAUGCCUAGGAAUCUGCCUGAUAGUGGGGGACAGCGUUUCGAAAGGAACGCUAAUACCGCAAACGUCCUACGGGAGAAAGCAGGGGACCUUCGGGCCUUGCGCUAUCACAUGAGCCUAGGUCGGAUUAGCUAGAUUGGUGGGGUAAUGGCUCACCAAGGCGACGAUCCGUAACUGGUCUGAGAGGAUGAUCAGUCACACUGGAACUGAGACACGGUCCAGACUCCUACAGGAGGCAGCAAUGGGGAAUAUUGGACAAUGGGCGAAAGCCUGAUCCAGCCAUGCCGCGUGUGUGAAGAAGGUCUUCGGAUUGUAAAGCACUUUAAGUUGGGAGGAAGGGCAGUAAGCGAAUACCUUGCUGUUUUGACGUUACCGACAGAAUAAGCACCGGCUAACUCUGUGCCAGCAGCCGC